UACGUAGGGUGCGAGCGUUAAUCGGAAUUACUGGGCGUAAAGCGUGCGCAGGCGGUUUGUUAAGACAGAUGUGAAAUCCCCGGGCUUAACCUGGGAACUGCAUUUGUGACUGGCAAGCUAGAGUAUGGCAGAGGGGGGUAGAAUUCCACGUGUAGCAGUGAAAUGCGUAGAGAUGUGGAGGAAUACCGAUGGCGAAGGCAGCCCCCUGGGCCAAUACUGACGCUCAUGCACGAAAGCGCGGGGAGCAAACAGG
rnacentral:rRNA from 1 species